CCUGUGAAUGGAUAGAAUUGAAUUGUUGAAUAAUGGAAGAAUUGUUGCAUAAUUACCAAUGGUAAUAAAUGUAUAAAAUGUGUUUUAUUCUUUCUCCCAGGCUUGGAGCUCAAGUUGAACUGCACAGUUUUCUGUGGGAGUAAUGUCAAAGAUUGUACAGCUAGCUGGUAUGUUAAUGGAGACCCAGUCAACCAGAUGGCCGGAUACAAUCAAACCACCAAACAAAUCAUGGAGAGGCCUUCAAAGAACACCAUCACCACUGCGAUCCUGACCAUUAAAAAAGUGUCGGCAAAGGAUUUUCAGGCUGAAUUCAAAUGCAGCGGCAGAGGUUUUUACACAGCCAAAUCAGCCACUUUAACGCUGAAGCGGAGAGGUCAGUCUGUCGUCCAAUCAUAAGACUUUAUUCUUGGCUGAUGGAAAUAAUGGGUGAUUUUAAUCCUUGACUAUACUCAUCAUGUAGUUUUACACAUUUAACUUACUUUAUUGAACUCGUGUUUGUUUUCCAGCGUCAAUAACUUCGUUGGUAAGGCAAUCCAAGCAAAGUUGAAAUGCUGGUUUCUGAACCUGGUUGUCGGUCAGAUAUUUGACUUCCGUCCCUGGAUCCUCCCACUAGUCUGUCAGAAAUGAAGAAGCUUCUUGGCUGAGAGUGGAAACGUUUUCCAAAUACCUCCAACGCCAUUUUCUUUUGAUUCAACUUCAAACUCAACUUCUAAACACCAUAUGAGGAUACACAGUUAUUGGCCCAUUCAAGAGAUGCCAUAGUAAUAGUGAAGUCAUUUAAAGUCAAGAAUAGUAUCAGUUUCUCCCUCUUCUCUCUUACAUCCUCUCUUUACAUGUCUUCCUGUCUUCUCUUUUUGCUUUGAACAGUGGUUUCAGUGUAAAUUGAAAUGAUUAAAAUGUGCUAAACUAAAAAAA